GUGGCAGUCUUUUAAUGGUUCCAGCUCUGAGCAGUGUGCUGCAACUCAGCCGACUCCACACAGAUCGAGACUGGUUCCUGCCGACAGGGGCCAUCAAGACAUUGGUUUCUCUGUGCGAUGGUUCCAUACAUC